AAAACCCCACCUACUUUCCCUAUAUCUCCUCCGCUAACCCUAAUCCCCAUUUCCUAAAUAUUGUUGCUUCUAAACACUCUCUGCCUCAUCGUUGUCCUAACCGCUGCCUUUUACCUAUCCCCUUCCUAAUCUUGUUAGCCAUGGAAUUUACCUGUUAUUUACUUACCAUAUUUGUGUUGCUUCUCCACUAGUUACCUAUUUGUGGUAUACAUUGUACUGGUUCAAUUUUUGGCAAGAAGAUCCCUCCGAAAUUAGACAAAAUUUGUUCAAAUCCUUGAUUUCUCAGAUUAUUUUGUCUACGUUGAUCAUGAAUUCGUCGCAAGUAUGAAUAUUUUCCAUUUUUAUCGAUGACGCUUACCUACCCUAAAUUAGUGUUUUGAAACCUCUUUAAAUCGAACAAAAACUAGUUUGAUUCUUUGGUUUUAAGUGAUAUUUCAUUUAUCUUCGUCCUAUUUUGUGCGGUGUUUGACUUUAUAUUGCUGAUUUUGCACUUUUUCUGAAAUUAGGGUUUGAGAUUUUCCCUUUCCGUCACUGAUUGAUUGCAUGUAAUAAAUAUUUUCUUUUUCAUGUUUGAUUGAUGAUUUUCCUUAUUUUGGUGUUAAUUUCUACCACUAUAUAAAAUUGUUGCCCCAUUCCCUUUGGAGAGACUUUGGGAUUCAAUCUAGCUUCACUAAAUCUAAAGCUUUACUCUAGUUUGCAUUCUAUAUUCUGAUUUUGGCUAGCUGGAAGCCAUGGCAAUUUAGUUUUGGAAUCUCUCUACUUAGAAUAUUGUGGACUUCUAUUAUUUUGUUCAUUUUCGCUUAACUGGUGAGUCACUUCACUUCUGCAAUUCAAUUCUUAAAUAUUUAUGAUUUUCAUGUGUUCUUGCUUCUGAAUCCUUGGUUCAAUAUGCUUCUAAGUCUUGUUAGGCAUUGUUCAAUAAACUCCACAUGCUUUAGCAUGUUUAACACUAACUGCUCCUAAUACUAUUAGUUUUGAAGUUAUCUGUUGUUAUCCUAGCUAAUCUUGAUUUUCUUGAGGUUUAUUAAGUUAGUGUGUAAAACUUUUGAAGGCACAUGAACAUAUUUUCUCGGUUAUUCUAAAUACCUGUAGUGGAUGCCUCACAUUUUUUUUAGCGUGUGUUAAGAACUUUAAUGCCAUUCAUAAAUUGCCUCCCUACUAUUUUGUUAUUCAACAUGAUCACCCGACCCUAUUCCCCUCCCCCCCCCCCCNNNNNNNNNNNNNNNNNNNNNNNNNNNNNNNNNNNNNNNNNNNNNNNNNNNNNNNNNNNNNNNNNNNNNNNNNNNNNNNNNNNNNNNNNNNNNNNNNNNNNNNNNNNNNNNNNNNNNNNNNNNNNNNNNNNNNNNNNNNNNNNNNNNNNNNNNNNNNNNNNNNNNNNNNNNNNNNNNNNNNNNNNNNNNNNNNNNNNNNNNNNNNNNNNNNNNNNNNNNNNNNNNNNNNNNNNNNNNNNNNNNNNNNNNNNNNNNNNNNNNNNNNNNNNNNNNNNNNNNNNNNNNNNNNNNNNNNNNNNNNNNNNNNNNNNNNNNNNNNNNNNNNNNNNNNNNNNNNNNNNNNNNNNNNNNNNNNNNNNNNNNNNNNNNNNNNNNNNNNNNNNNNNNNNNNNNNAAAAAUUUUUGAAAAAAAUUUUUGGUGUAUUUUAAUAUAAACAUAAGAACCCCCCCCCCCUUCUACUGCUAGCUUGUGAUUUAGAACAAUUGUCUCAUCAUGUUUGAAUUAGUACUUUGAGAUGUUCGGCUAGACCUUUGAUACAAACUGGAUCAUCUUUUGUUAAUUUGAUCACUAUCAUAAUGCUUGAAUGCCUAUGCUUGCUACAUGACACGAUUCUACCUUCUAUUUUGAUUAAUAGUUUGUAUAUGUAUCUUAAUUUGUGAUUGUAAUCUCACCACUUUCCUAACAUAAUACCCUACUCUUUCUAUGAUUAUUUGACUCAUCACAACGCUAUCCUAUUUCUUUGGUAAUUGUACUAGGUUGUGUACAUAGCAUAAUUCAACCAUGUUUUAACCUAUCUCACACCUGUGUAUAACAACCUUAGUAAAUCCUGCAAACAUGUCCUUUUCAACUUUUCUUUUCAGUAUGUGACUGCUUCUGUGCUAAGUGUUGAACCUGUUUCUCAGUUUACAUUAAGCUCGUUCUUUUACUUUUGUGAUUUAAUCAACUGUCUGCCUGACUUUCUCAAUUUGGUUGUGUCUCUUUAAACCAUUCAUUUCAUGUUCUCUCAAUUUUUGUCCUUUCUUUCACCUGUCAGCUAAGUUCUUUAAAUCCCAUUCUUAGCUGGCUGAAAGCCAAGGCUACUUAGGUUCUAUCAUUUGACCUCCCUCGUGAGAGCACUGCUCAAGGUUCUUAUGAGACCCUUACAAACUCUAACACACUAGGACUUGGUCCCCAGUUUCUCCUCUGAAUUAUCUUUGUUCACUUACCUAGUGUGAGCACUUGCCUGGGUUCUUGAAGUCAGUGGGAACUUUGACACACCAGGGUCUUGGUUCUAUAUGCUCAACUCUAUUUUAAGACUAGUGGGGAAUCCCUCAUGUCCUAGCUUCCUUAUGUCCAUGAACAUGUAAUUUUAGGGCUGAUGUGAAUUAUGAGAAUGAUGGCCUUGCCUGGCCAGGUGUAUCUGUGGGCUUGCUAUAGGCUCCUUAUGGCAAUUCUACUUAGUAAUUUAUUUUAUUCAUUUUGGGUCUAUUAUAAUUAUUAUAAUAAAAUUUUGGGAAAUUAGUGAAAUUAGGGAAGGACUUUUAUCUCGUACUUUCAUUGAAAUGGGAAGAAAUCAUGCCUAUAGGUCCAUUACUUUGUUAAAAUGUGCUAUUAUGUUCAAAGAUGUUCGGCUAUCAUGUGUUAGAAAUCAUGCCUAUAGGUAUUUUAUCUUUUCUCAAAACGUGUUACUUUCAAAUUACUGUAGAAAUAUUUCCUAUAUGUAUAUUUUUAUGCUUAAAAUGUUCUUCUUAUAUGUAAGCCACCAUGCCUAUAGGUUUUUCAUUUGGUUCGAAUAUGUUCUAUGACUACUUGUUAGAAAUCAUUCUUGUAGGAUUUAAAACCAGUUUAAUUAUAGAACCCAUGCCUAUAGGAUUGAAUAUUAGUUUCAAUUAUAGAACUCAUGCAUAUAGGGUUUUGAAUCAGCUUAGUCUUCAAUGUUGUGCUAAUUAUCAUCACUAGAAACCAUGCCUAUCAGACUCAAUUAUUCAAUUCUGAACAUAAUCCUAUGAGACGAUCACUUACUGCAUAAAAAUGCAUAGAUAUCAUGCCUAUUUGUUUAAUAUCUGAUAUAUGUAAUCAGUAGGCAACCAUGUAGGUUUCAAAGAUUGUAAAGUGCCCGGUCAUUAAAUUUAGAAUCACAUAGAGAUCCUGCCUAUAGGUUUCUACAACUUCAACUUGUCAAAAUCUUCAAUAGUCUUUGUCAAUUAGGUUUUGUGUGCAAUUGAUAUCGAAGUGCGGUGGCCAAAUUCAGCCCUUAUUUGCUUACAAGUGAAAGUCCAAAAUGUUUUUUCUGUCGCCAAGUAUUUUUUUUUUCUAUGGAACCUAAGUUAAUGUCUAGAAACACCCUAAGAUAGAGGACCAAAUGCCUCCUAGACUGUAGGCAUGGGACACGUAGUGCACACAUAGAAAACAACAUAGAAUUGACUAGAGCGCUUUAGGUAAACAAGCUAAAGAUAAUAAUUGGGUAGCAAGAGAUGAUAGUCUAUGCCCAGUGAAUAAUCUGAGUAACACCCAUCUCAAAGGAGUUACGAAGUAUUAUUUAUGUUGCACGGGGUGAUCCCUUAGGCUAAAAAACAUAGGACUCCCCAUCUUUGUUUUAAAAUCAAUCAUUUUCUUUAUUUGUCCUUCCUCUUAGAAUAAUUCAUGAAAUUAAUGUUUGUUCGGGACCUACCAUUGUGGACGUCGAGAAAUGCCUAACACCUUCUCCUAGAGGUAAUAUGAGCCCUUAACUGAUCUUUGGUGACGCAACUAGUUAAUUCAGAGUUAACUGCAAAUAGGUGUCUUAACGCACCUUAAUCAGUUAGGUGGUGACUCUCUCUUUUUAUACCCUUCCAUAUAAGAGUUAUCAAUGUCGAAACUUCAUUUCACGAGAAAAAGGGGUACACCAUACAUAGAGUCAAAAGAUAUAUGGAGUCUUAAGAGUAGGGGUUUUUUUAGGGCUCGAGAGAUGGAAUAGAUAGCCCCCUCCAUGCCUUACUGACUGCGGCUAAGGUGGUGUCAACCAAAGGGUCAAAAAGUUCCCACAUGAAUGGACGUUUGAAUAUUGCUCAGAAUUGAACCUUCGAUCACUUGGAUUCGCGUUUACCUUCACAAACCGGCAAAGCGUAAUUGGCCUUGGAUUCCUUGCGCUCAUACCUUAAUGAAGGAAAGUAAUAAGUAGAAAAAGAGGCUUUUCCAAAAUUGGCAUAUGAUGAACCGAGGAAUCGAGCCAAAUAUGAAUGAAUAGGCAUGUGGGAACUACAUUUCUUGAGCUAGAUGAUUAAAGCUUAUCAUGUCCAGGUACUCACACAUUAUCCACAUCAAAUAAAUAUUCAUUAGUUUGAAAUUAGCCAGAUUAGGAGGUCAUAAGUUCGAGUCGUGGAAACAUCCUCUCCCUGAAAUACAGGAUAGGUACGAUAGGUCCUUGUGGAUCGGCCCUUCUUCGGACCUCACGCAUUGCAUGAGCUUUGCCAGGUUGCCUUUUUGUUUCUUUUUCUGAAACUGGGUGGAGUCAGCAAUUUGGAUUCUGUAUAUACAUUCAAAUUAAUUCAUGUUUAUUUCAUUCAAAUGCUAAGUUGUUUAUUCAAGGCAAAUAUUUUCUUGUUAACUACUUAGAGUCAAUAAUUUGGAUUCUUUUGAGACAUUCCAAUUAAGUCAUGUUUAUUUCAUUUAAAUGUUUAGUUGUUUAUUUAACGCCAAUAUUUUCUUAUUAACUAUUUGGAGUCAGCAAUUUGAAUUCUUUAUAGACAUUCCACUUAAUUCAUGUUUAUUUCAUUCAAAUGCGAAGUCUUUAAUUUAGGGAAAAUAUUUCUUGUUGAGUAUAUGAAGAAAUUUCAUUAACGCUAUUAAAUAAUCUAAUAAUCAGCGAAGUCGUUAUUCUUCUGUUUUUAUGUCAACUGUUAAAAUAGUUGUGAUGGCCCGACGGUCAUUUUCAGUUUUGGACUUCUUUUCUAUAUUUUGAGACCUCGAAUAACUUAGUUUGGCCUCCUCGAUUUGCAUGUGCAGUCCAUGCCUUUUACCAGAAGAUUAUUAUGUGAAAACGGAGGAAAUAUGAAAGUUUUCCUUAAAACUCAUUUGAGUUGACUACUGUCAAUGUUUUUUGUAAAUGGGCUCGUAUCGGUAUUUUGACAUUCACAAUGGGUCCGUUUCGUGAUUAAUGACUUGGGCGUAUGCCCGGAAUCGAAUUCCAAAGUCCCUGACUUGAUUUAACGUGUUUUUUUAAAAAUUAGUAAUUUAAAGAUUUAAAGAAUUCUCAAGAUUGACCAUAGGUGGACUUUUUUUAUAUUUGGUUCGAAUUUUAGUUCUUGAACUUGGUAUAGGUCAAUUUUACUAUUUAUGACUUGUCUGCAAAAUUUGGUGCAAAAUGGAGUUUAUUUGACGUGAUUUAGACGUCUGAUUGUUAAAUUGAAAGUUCUUAAGCUUCUUUGAAAAUUUCAUUCAUUUUGAUUGUUCGAUUCGUAGUUCUAGAUGUUAUUUUUGUAUUUUGAUCGCAAGAGAGUUUAUAUGAUGUUAUUCACUUGUCUGCAUGUUUGGUUGGAGCCCGAAAGGCUCCAGUGAGUUUCGGAUGCGUAGCGGAAUGGUUGAUAGAGAGGUCUUGCUGCUUCUUUUCGCACAAGUCACAGUUCUCGCAUUUGACAGUUUAGUGUCACAUUUGCAAUAGUGUUAGGUUGCAUUUGCAAACAGAUCGUUCUCAUUUGCAAUAGGGUGCUGGGUGGAACUAGUUCGCAUUUCUGAUCAAAUUGAAUGAGAAGUGUGGAGAGUUUACUUUCGCAAGGACUUCAUAGCAUUUGAGGGGAUCACAAUUACAAAUCACAUGUCAUAUUUGUGAUAUUUACGCCUGGACAAAAAGCUGAGAAAACGUGAAUAAGCUCAUUUUUUAGAAACACGCAACCCUAAGCCUCCUAGAAGUGAUUUUCUAAAAGGAUUUUCAUCCCAAAUAUAUUGGUUAGAAACUUUAAUUUAUUUCUUUUCAAUUUCCCAUUACUUUUCAAGUGUUUUCAACAUUUAAUUUAGGAUUUCAGAAAUUAGGUAUUGGGAUAGAAUUAGAAUUUUUAUAAAUUUGAGAUUUAUACCUCGAAUUGAGGUUAGAUUUUGAAAUAAAUUACAUAACCGGGAUCUGGGUGAAUGAGUAAUCGGGUUUUGGUCCAAAUCUCGGUUUGAUGAAGCGACCCCAGGGUUAACUUUUGUUGACUUUUGGGAAUAAAUGGAAAGAUCUUAACUUUAUGUAUUGUAAGUAUUUUUCCUAGCACUUUUUGUUGAUAUUAAGUCAGUUUUGGUUAGAUUUUUGUUCAUUGGAAGGCGAAUUUUAGAGGAAAGGCUCCUUUUGAGCUUUGAUUUUCUUGAGCAAUGUUAGUGAAGGGUCUAACCUUGAUUUGGAGGAAUCUGAAACCCUUGAUCUAUAUGUUAUAUGAUCUACAUAUGUAGCAGUGUAUAUGCAAGGUGAUUAGUUUAUAUACGCCGUCAAAAUACAUGUUUUCAUGCAUUCUCGCAUUUUAUUAAUUAUUUUAUUUCAUGUCUUAACUGUUACAUGCUUUAAUUGCUUCCUAUGCCUUUACGUGCUACUAGUCACUCAUUACAGCUGUAUUGAAAUGUCCAUUUAUUUCAUGCUUCUGUGAUUAAUUGAUACAUGUUUUAAUUGUCUUAAUUGUAAUCUUUAACUAUCAUAUAUUUGGUUUAGUUUAUUGCUUUGUAUUAAAUGUAGCAUUCCUUGUUUUGGUACAAGCUUCCUUUAUGGCUUUGCUUUUAUGAUUAUUUAUUCAUAGAGAUUCUUAUGAACUGAGUUGUUGAAUUAAUUACAUUUACUGAUUUGUUUUUGGAUUGGAUUGUACACUGCAAAGGGUAUAAUAAGGGAGGAAUGAUAUCGAUAUGGUGGGAUGGGGUUGCACACCGCAAUAGAUUUUAUAUGUGAUUUGAUAUGGUGAAAUAAGGGAGGAUUAUUACAUUGAUUCGGAUUAUAUGGUGGGAUCGGAUUGCACGCCGCAACAGAUUUUACAUGUUAUUUGUGAUAUUGAUGUGGUUAAAUAAGGGAGGAUUGAGUUUUUAAGGUGGGAUAGGGUUGCGCGCAUCAGCAGAUUGUGUAUUUUGUAUUCAUUGUUGCAUUGUGUUAGCUUUUAGUAUUUUCAUACGAGAUUCUGAGGGUUGAUGUUUGUGGAUUUAUUGACUUCAAGGAUUGAAUUUAUUUUUAUAAUUUAACUGCCUUACUUUUCCGGUGUUUCCUCUCAUAUUAUUGUUAUUCUUAUUAUUAUUAUACUGCGUACAGGUUGUAUGUAACAUGCCUUAGCCUCGUCACCACUUUAUCUAGGUUAGGUCCGGCACAUACUGAGUACAUGGGGUCGUUUGUACUCAUAUAAUACUCUUCACUUCUUGUGCAUAUUAUGGAGUCGGUCCUAGUAGUGGUUUGAUGACCUGGCUGGUAGUCUUAAGAUUUUACGCUCUGAUCCACUAUUAACUACAUUCUGGUGUUUUUUCUUGUUGUGGCUUGCUGGGGGGAUUUAUUUGAUGUUUUGGAGAGUUUUGAGACACUUAGUCGCUAAGUAAGAGCAUAUGUUUUAGAAUUUGGAUUGUACACAGAGCGGUGUGAAGACAACCUCAAAUUGGAAUUACGUUGAUUCUGUUAGCUCUGUUGGGUGAUUUCAGGUUUAGGAGCGUUCUCAGAUUGUGUUUUGGAUGUCCGUAGCUAAUUUGGGCUUGAAAUGCCGAAAGUUUAAUUUUUAAAGUUUCAGGUUUGAUUGUAUGAUUUUUAUCCAAGGGACGGAAUGGAAUUCCAGAGGUUGGAGUAGCUCUGUAGUGUUGAAUGUGAUGUGUGUGAAAAUUUUAGGUCAUUCGUACGAGUUUGAUAGACUUUUUGAUCGAAAGCGUAUUUUGAGAGUUUUGAUGUUAUUAGGCUUGGAUCCUUUACUAAUUAGUUGUUUCAAUGUUGUUCGUAAUAUUUUGAAGAUUCGAUUAAGUUUGAACGGUUUUAUUAGACGUUUUGUUGAUUUGGUUGAGGUUCUAGGGGUCUCGGGAUGAUAUCAAAUGGUUAAUGGAUAGAUUUGGAAUUUUGAGUUGCAGCUGAAGCUAUGACUAUUGUCAUUACCGCAUCUGCGGUUGAGAGGUCAAAGGUGUGACUCCCGUAGAUGCGAAAUCAAGCCGCAUAAGCGGCCAAAUAAGGAAGUGCUGAAACAGCAGAAGCGGAAGGUAUAACGCACAUGCGUGACCGCAGAUUCGAAUACUAGGUUACAGGUGCGGCGAAGAAGAUCUAACUUGAAGUUGCAGGAGCGGUCCCAUUAAUCACAGAAGAGGUAUCGCAGAUACAGAGGUUGGACCACACAUGUGGAUUUGUUUGGCAUAAAAAUUAGAAUUUUGAGGGUUUAGUUUCAAAAAGUUAGAAAUUAAUUUGGAGCUCGGGAGAAGGAGAUUUUGGUAGGAUUUCAAAGAGGAAAUAAGUGGGUAAUGAUUCUUAAUCCCUUUCUAGUUGUAUUCUAAUAAUCUAAUUCGAGUUUUGCCAUUUAAAGUUUAGAUUGGGAUGAAAACUUGGGGGGAAAUUUGAAGAAACUUCUUAGACCUAGAUUUCGAGUUUUGGUUAAAAAUUUGACAUUGGAUUUGGAUAAUUUUGGUAUGCAUGAACUCGGGAGAGUAUGAGGAUUCUGAAAAUAUAUAUUUUGCCCGAUUUCGAGAUGUGGGUCCGAGGGAUGUUUUGGUCAUUUUAUUGAAUUUCCCGUGUUAGCUUAGAAUUAAUUAGUUGAAUUAGUUUCUUAAAGUGUCAUUUACAUAAUGCAAUUUAAUUGAAUAGAGUUGGGCCAUUUCGAGUCUAGUAAUUAUGGCAAGAGUGUGGUUUGACGUUGAUUUUGAGCGGGUUCGAGGUAGGUGGCUUACCUAACCUUGUGUGAGGGUAAUUCCCCUUAGUAUUUGAAAUAAUUGAUAUUGAAAAUGCUUGGUGCGUGAGGUAAUGAGUGCAUACUUAUGCUAAUUGUUGAAAAUCAUGUUUUCACUAAAGUAGCUAUAAUUGUGUUUUCUUUUAUUGCUUAUACUACUUGAAAUUUAAGCCUGCUAUUAGCUUAGGAAAACAUGUCUAAUUAACUUACAUACUUUACUUUUUCAAACUGCCUUAUUUGGAUUAUGUAUGGCAUGCUACGGUAGAAUUACAUAUUUUACCCUGGUAUGAAAUUGAAUUAAUUGAGUAUUCUUCAUAUUUUUGCUGUGUGUUUACUUUGGGUCUAUAUGACGGUAUCUUGGGGGCUCCCCCUGUACAUAUAAUGCUUUGGACUGAGGUGCAGGAUAGCAAGGGAUCCUGAACAUGUAUAUUGAAGAUACUAAGAGAUCCUUGGGAUACCGAGAGAUCCCAUCAUAUAUAUAUUGAGGAUACCAAGAGAUCCUCGGAAUACCAAAAAAUCCUAAGCACACAUUGAGGAUACUAAGAAAUCCUCGUAUACCAAAAGAUCUCUAGCAUAUAUUGAGGAUACCAAAAGAUCCUUGAGAUACUGAGAGAUCCCCAGUUGUUGCCUCUCUUAUGAGCGGUAUUCCUUUUGUGAUUAUUUGUCUGUGUUAUAAUUGUUGUUAUUAUUAUUAUUAUUAUUAUCAUGUGUUACCUCUUACUGUUAGCAUUUAAUUAUAUAGUCGUAUCAUAUACCGUUACAUCUUGUCUCUCAUUAAACCUCAUUAGGGCCCUGACCUUCCUCGUCACUACCCGAUUGAGGUUAUGCUUGGCACUUAUUGAGUACCGGUAUGGUGUACUAAUGCCCUUUUUGCACAUGUUUUUCAUGUGCAAAUCCAGGUACUUCGACCCAGUCCUAUCACACUUGAGAUGAGGCGCUUGUAGAGACUUUGAGGUAUAUCUUCCACGUCUGCAGAUCGAAGAGUCUCUUUCUAUUCUCGGUUCUAGUAUAGCCUUUGUGUAUUUUUCCUUGUUGACAGACUUUUUCGGAUUUAGAGCUUUUUAUGUAAUAUCUUAGCUUGUAAUCAAUGGGGUUUCGCAUUUUGGGAGUGUUAGUUUGAGAAUAUUGUAUUGAUAUAUGCCAAGCGACAUCUUUUACAUUGUUAAAUUUCGUUAUCUUGGCUUUAUUUACUUUCUUUCUGUAAAUUGUUUGUCUUUCCGCAUCAUUUAGGCCUACCUACUCAAACAGACUAUGCGCCGUCACGAUCGUUAACGAAGGACGAACUAGGGCCGUGACAAGUUUGUAUCAAGCUCUAGGUUCACAGGAGAGUCAUGAAUCACAGACCAGUUUAUUAGAGUCUCGCAGAUCAGUA
rnacentral:lncRNA from 1 species